GUUUACAAGCAAUGGUGGAAGAAAUUUUGCACAAUGUCCAUUGCAUGUUACGUAUUGCUCCUCUGUUUACAUUUUGUUCAUUCAAAAGCUGGACUCGGGGCAGGAGUCUGAGGUCGUGAUCCUUUGAGAUGCUGUCCGAAUUAUCGACAGUUGGAUACAUUCUGCGGCCCUUGUGAUAUAGGUACCUAUGGACACAAAUGCUCUGGAGGACGGUGUGUUUAUGGAUCGUAUGGAUUUGGAUGUUCAAAGAAGUGUAACUGUUCACGUGAUCAGUUUUGCGACGGAAGUAUGGGAAGCUCAUAUAAUAUCAGCGGUAAAUAUUUACCAUAAAAUGCUGAAAUGAAAAAAGAAGUUUAACAACACAUGUUCAUGCUAGAUUGCUGCAUUUUGAUAAUGUCAUUAUCAAAAAACAAUUCUUCAAGAGGGAAGGGAGAUACUUUCGUUCAUGUGAAUGAUGUUAUUGCAGAUGAUUCAAUAUCUUUUUUACGUUCCAUUUACAACUUUAUGAAAGUGAUGUUUUGAGGUUUGAAUA